CCUACGGGAGGCAGCAGUGGGGAAUAUUGCGCAAUGGGCGAAAGCCUGACGCAGCGACGCCGCGUGAGGGAUGAAGGUCUUCGGAUCGUAAACCUCUGUCAGCAGGGAAGAACGGUCACUGUGCUAAUCAGCAGUGAAUUGACGGUACCUGCAAAGGAAGCACCGGCUAACUCCGUGCCAGCAGCCGCGGUAAUACGGAGGGUGCGAGCGUUAAUCGGAAUUACUGGGCGUAAAGCGCUCGUAGGCGGUAUGUCAAGUCAAGGGUGAAAUCCCCGCGCUCAACGUGGGAACUGACGUUGAAACUGGCAAACUGGAGUGUGUGAGAGGAUAGUGGAAUUCCAGGUGUAGGAGUGAAAGCCGUAGAUAUCUGGAGGAACAUCAGUGGCGAAGGCGACUAUCUGGCACAUAACUGACGCUGAGGAGCGAAAGCGUGGGUAGCAAACAGGAUUAGAUACCCGGGUAGUC
rnacentral:rRNA from 1 species